GCCUGGGUGGCUCAGUCGGUUAAGCGUCCGACUUUGGCUCAGGUCAUGAUCUCACGGUUCGUGGGUUCGAGUCCCGCAUCCGGCU
rnacentral:tRNA from 1 species